rnacentral:lncRNA from 1 species
GGACUGUCCAUGUUCAUGGGAACUGAGAGCCAACCGAGAGCCAGGAAGAUCGGGCAAACCACUCUUCCACUGACCGCAGCACCAUGCAUGGUCCAUAGAGAGAGACACAUGCUGACGAGGGAGAUUUAAGAAGGCAUGGAAGGCCUGAUUCGAUGAUGAAUGGCAAGCCGCUACCCCGCUGAAAUGUCAAGUAUCUGGAAAGCUUGUCUUUAUGGUUUUUUUUUUCUACCAGAAACAUCUAUAACAGAGCAUGCCCUCUGUGACAGACUCCUGAUCCCCUUCUCUUCUGCCUCGGUGGAGUAGCUAUGUUCUCCUGAUCGCGAAUGAGCAGAAAGCGCUUUAUCAUCUUUUGUCUUGUUUUCAUCCUGCCCUGAAGAAGAAAAGAGACAAGAUAAAGGAAGUGGCUGCAGCUACCCGACGAUGCUCCGUUGACUCCUGUAAAAAUAACUGUUUCCAGGUCAAUACAUCUCUACUCUCCCUCCAUAAAAGAGAAGGAGCUGUAAAUAACACGGUGUGGAGACAUGUGUGGUACCCACCUGACCCAGUGUUGUCUUCGAAAUGCAUUCUGCCGAGUUCCUACUUCGGCUCCUCAUGAAGCCAAGUCGUCAUUAACACCUACAUGGUCUGAAAACACAAACCACGAGAAGCAAGAGCUAUCAAGUGUACAUAGAUCUGGGGGGCAAGGGGAGGACAAGGUAUUGGCUUAGUGUGUGAGGUUCUGAGCCCGUGGGUCUGUUUGUACUAUGUCCUGAGUCUAAGGUCCUGUAACUGUACCUUCCUGUCCUGAGUCAUUUGUAUCUCUUGGCUUUGUAAUAAACGCUGCACACAAAAAAGAAAAAAAG